UCUUGCGUUACUACCCACGUGCUACGAUUUUUCCCUUGGGGGGCAGCAAGCGGACAUUUUGUACAGGAGCAAUGCAAAGAUGGGUGAAUACGAUACAUUGUUUUUAACCGAAGACGAUGUUCCCGGGGCGAAACUGCCAACACCAUAAGUAAAGGAUCAUGCCAACUUUGUUUUGGAACGAUGUGGUUAGCCUGUCAGUGGCGAGUUGGGGAGAAAAGAGCAGCAUUGAUAGCAAGGCUACCAAGUACAUAUCAACUCAUUUUUGUGGCAGUUGACCAUUACAUCAUGUGUGCAGAUGCAAAAACUGCGUAGA